GGGCGAGUUUCAGAUUCGAUUGCGGGCAGAGAAUGAGAAAAGCAUACCAAAGGCUCGGCUUUGUAAAAACGGAACUUAAAUUUAAAUGCAGAAUCAAAAGAUUCAAAAGUUAUCGCUUUCCCUUCCUUCAGGUCGGCAGGCGUAGCUUGCGCAGCUUAACUUAAACGCUGCCCGUCGCUUCUUUUUCACCGUUGGAAAGUAGUCGGCGUCAACUAAACGGUAAACUUUUAUGCGCGUUCUACCGCGCGCGUGUAAAAGAAUUUCAGCGGUAUGCGCUUACCGUUUCCCGUCCGUCGGGAACGGCAGGUUAAGUUCAAAGGCGGAAUAAGUAUGUAGAAAGCUCAGACGAAACUCGUAAGACUCGGGUGCAAGUCCCGACUCGUCCACCA
rnacentral:tmRNA from 1 species